CGCUCCAAUCGCUCCCGCUGUCUCGUUGGCAAAAGUUGCGGAGGCGCGGGUGGUGGCAAAGACCCCCUUCUGGUGGGCGGCCGUCCGUGCCUGGCCGCUUCAGCCCUCCUCAAAGCUUCGCCUUAGUGCUUCUCUCGCGGCUCUGGUUCCCCAGCUGUUUCGCCCCGCGGAAAACUCCGCAGCGUCGGGCGGUCAGCUGUCCCGCGGCGCGCCUCUGCUGUCCUCCUCGGGUGUGCGUCGAGUGGAGAAGAGGCCGGCCCUAGCGUUCCUCGGGCCUAGCGGUCUGGGAAGCGUCGCGAGCAGGCCCUGGUGCCUCGACUGCAGGCGAUGGACACCGACAGCUAGACCCGAGGCUCCGAGAUGUUCCAGUGACUCCUUGCCGCAGUGGGACUGGCCGCAGGCGCGGGUGCGCGGGCCUUCUCCGGGCUCGAGUCUCGGAUCGUUCAUUGACACCUUCAAACUGACCUGACUGCCUCGUCCUCUUAGCCCGUCGAAACUCCGGACAUCGACCAGACUUAACUCUAGUACCACGGAGAAAUACUGUGAAUUACGGUGGUAUCAGUGGUGUGGGGAAAAUUGGAAUUUAAAUCUGUUGUUUGGGGCACCAUGACGCUGAGGCUCUUAGGAGACUGGUGUAGGGAGAUGGAUGUGAACUCAAGGAAAGCGCCUUUGGUUGCUGGCGUCGCCCAGACCUGUGAUGUGGCAGAAAUCUGCAAGCUGGUGUAGCCCCCUUGGGGGAGUACCUACUCCUCGGGACAUCGUCCCGGAGGGACGAGAUCAGGAAUGUAGCCUUAAUAGGACUUACUGAGGAGACAAGUCUUGCUCUGGUCCCUAAGGAGAUAUCCGGAGGCGGGGGUGCCUGAAGAGUGAUCAUUAAGCCCCCUAAUCCAGAUAGUGAAUUUUUAAGCAGAUUAAAUGAACUCUUAGAGGGGGAGGGCGUGACAUUGUUAGGUUAGGGUGAGGAUGAGUUUACCAGAGCUCUUGCGUAUGGAAACGACCCUUUGAUCUACACUAGGAUGUGAUCCUAGGAAUGCGGGCCCCUUUGUUGGCUGACAGUUCUUGAGGCUCUUCAGCCUGCCCUUCAACACCUGAAAUACAAAAAACCGAAAGUUUUCUCAGGCAGUGAUCCUCCAGAGCCAGAAGAAGAGUGAAUCCUGGCUGUUUCACACUACCCAAAUGAUGAGGUUAUGAAAUACGUAAGAUGCUGAAAAAAGAAGGCGAUUGCUAGAGAGCUUUAGAGACCCAGCAUCCAGUAUCAUUUGUGUCCUCCAGAUAAACAAUCCUUUAAUCACAACUCCUGAAUGCCUGCAGGCUCUGGGAGUUGCAGGUCAAAUACCUGACCACUUAAGAGAAGGAGGGAGAAAAUUGUCUGCUUAGGUACUAAGGCUGGAGACUUGACUACAGAAACUGGUAGAGAGAGGAGCCUUUGAGUGAGCAUGGAGCAGGUCCUUGCUGGAGCAGUCCACGGAACACCGCGCAGGCAGGCUUCGUAGAGUUACUAACACUAAUAAAGUAUGAAGAGGAGGAGGAUGCCCUCCUCCAGGCAGGACUUGAGGGACAUUUCACCUGAAUCUUGGGAAAUCAGGAAGGGCCAUCUUCAGCAAGCAGAGCAUAGAGGCAGAACAGUCUGUAUACUCAGUGAUAGACAGUAACCUAUCUUGUGCUGCCGAUUAACUCAUGUUUGUGCAGUUCUUAGUAUAAUCCUUUGUCAUUUCUGUGCCUGUGUGAUGUCUCCUAAAUGUCUCUCUAGUCAUUGACUAGAAGGGUGUAGCCAUGGAUUUGUUUUUCAGUCAUUCACAGUUGUACAGAAAGGGUCAUCACUACACACAUGUGAUACUCUGAGAGGACCUCCAGGCGUGGCUCAGGUGCACGUGCUGAUCAGAUCUCGUUCAGAUGUCGGCUUGUGUGAUAGUAGGGGGGCCAGUAUAGCUGUCCGAUGUGAUGAUGCGUCAUAGCUAGUUUUUAGGUGUGCAUGUGUGUGUUAGUCACUCAGUCAUGUCUGACUCUGCAACCCCAUGGACUGUAGCCCGCCAGGCUCCUCUGUCCAUGGAAUUCUCCAGGCAAGAACACUGGAGUGGGUUGCCAUUCCCUUCUCCAAGGGAUCUUCCCGACCCAGGGAUCGAACCCGGGUUUCCAGCACUGCAGGCAGAUUCUUUACCAUCUGAGCCACGAAGGAUGUCCAGUUAGGUUUCCAAGAGUGAUUUCACUUGAACAAAGUGUUCCAAAAGCAUGAAUCUGAAAGCCACUGAAUUUGCACAGUCUUAGUCCUUUGGACACUUAGUCCCUUGGACACUUUCCUCCUGGUGCCCAGGGGUGGGGAGUAGUUUUCGAACUGAGAAUGCUGGUGGGACCUUCUCCUGAAGCACAAUGGAAUGAAAUGAGACUGCACAAAUGAUUGCAAGUAGCAGGUCCCAAGGUAUCAGUGUGUUGAAUCUGGAGGGUGAAGGGAAAGACAGGAUCAUUGCAUACCUCUGGAUGGCAAACUAGACUAAAUGGUCCAUGUACUUCCUCACUUAAUCCUUGUAAAAAUCCUGCAAAAUGGGGAAACAACUAGUUUCAGAAUUCUGUCAUCUGCCUUACUGCAAGACCCGUGUUCUUCCCACUGCCAAGAAAGAGAAGCAGUCCUAAGGGUGUCUGGACCCAGCCUCACAAGGGAAGUCGGGCAGAUUGUUAACAACAUUUAAUAAUUAGUGUGGACUACAUCUUUCUUUUUUUAAAACAAACAAAUGAAUGAACAUAUUUGGCUGUGACUGGUCUUAGCUGCAGCAUGCAGGCAGCAUGCUAAAUCUCUAGUUGUGGCACUCAGGAUCUUGUUUUUAGGUGUGGCAUAUGGGAUCUAGUUCCCUGACUAGGCAUCGAACCCAGGCCCUCAGCAGUGAGAGUGCGGAGUCCAAACUGUUGACCACCAGAAACGUCCCUAGACAACAUCUUUCUUAAACACUCCUGCCAACUGGACGCUGUAAUGAGGAGCAUGAGAACCUGUGAAACCAGUGGGCAGCAGGGAGGGUGGACAUGGGCUAGUGAUUUGGUCUCAAAAUAAAAAGGAAGAAUGAAAGCAUGAAAGUUGAAAAUUGCUGAAAGAUCAUACUGAAAGUCUUUAAUAAAAAUAGCCCCAAAGAACCAGUUUUGGGAUAUACACUUUUGGGUUUAGAUACAAAGUCAUAGUAUAAUGUUUCUGUAAUGAAUAAAUAUCAUGCUUUCAUUCUUCAUAAAUUCACCUGUGUUCCCCCUACAGAAGGUUAAAUACAUAUCAGACCAUCUUGUUGUACCUCCUUAAAUGUAUGUAAUUUUAACUUGUCAAAUACAAGUGUGUAAUAAAAGUGUGUUUGUCACUU